rnacentral:rRNA from 1 species
AUGAGUUGCCUAAGCUGGAACUGUUGAGGGAUUGGGAGCCCAUCGACAGUUCGAGAGCUUCGCAGUGUAGUGAAGCAGGAAGGGCCCUGUCUCUUGUUCUUGACGGAGACAAAAAUUUCAGCACAACGAGUGGAGAGUCUGCAGAAUCUCUUGGGAUUUGUAGGAUGUUUUGCGGUGAACAGUACUGGCCUUAGUGGUGGUAUUGGUUUAUUCUGGAAGGAUGAGGUUGAGGUGGAGCUCAAGAACUACAGCUCGUGUCAUAUCGAUGUUGUGGUUAGGAAGAAGACCCGAGCAGCGCAAGAAUGGAGGGUCACGGGGUUCUAUGGAGCCCCAAAAGUGGAGGACCGUCCACAUAGUUGGCGGUUUCUUCGAACUCUUUUUGGAAUACAACAUGAUGCUUGGCUUUGUGUUGGAGAUUUCAAUGAGACUAUGAAUGCAUCUGAACACUUCUCGAACGCGGAUCGGCCUGAAUACUAG